AACGGUAGAGAGGACCAAGAGAAUAAGAGGUACAGAAAGGAAGGAGUGUCUACAAGGUUGGGGAUUGCUUUCUAAUCAAUAGCCGUCUUUUUUUUUUGUGUGGAAAUCAAAAAUUUAUAAAUCCUUCUCUAGAGCUAGUGUCUGUACUCAGUGGGGUUUUCCUCUUUGCUGUGCUGCCUCCAUUUACUUGUCACCUGCGGCAGGCUAGACUUAACAAGCAUCCUCAGUCUCAACAAGAGAACUACCUGCUGGGACAUCACAAGCAUCAGAGCCUUACCUGAUUGCGCUAUAUUUGAAGCCAUGGAACAAGCAGAGAAUAAAACCACCUCGCCACAAAAGCAGAAUCGGUCCAAAAAUCGAUCCAAAUCGACAGAUGAGGUGCAGCAAGCAAAAAAGGCCUUUCACACACCACAGAAGUCUCUUCCAGCUAAACCAGAGACGGAGAAGUUGGAGGCGGACACCGAGGAGCUUAGCGCUUCAACCGAGGAGCUAAAAUAAUGGCAUCACUCAGACUGGGGUUACAGGAAAAUUUACAUAAAUCUACAAAAUGCAUCUUGUUUAUACCACUGAUACCACUAAUACCAUGUCUUCUGCCAUAAGAUGUGUAUUCUUGCAUUAUUCAUUAGUCAGUCAAAACAAUAAAACAUAUCACAAUUCUGUUGAAAACAGCGAAAAGUUUGAAGGGAUUUUUCCCCCUAACGCAGAUCUUAGCCCUAGUCUAAAAUUGUUGAGGCAUGAACCCUGGAUUUUAUUUAUUUAUGACGAUGAGUAAACAAUCAUCAGUGGAUCCUGUCAAAUGUUUGUCUGUAAUAUAAACUGCAUAAAUUCUAUGCUUGUAAUGAUC